rnacentral:rRNA from 1 species
CCUACGGGCGGCAGCAGUGGGGAAUAUUGCGCAAUGGGCGAAAGCCUGACGCAGCGACGCCGCGUGAGGGAUGAAGGUCUUCGGAUCGUAAACCUCUGUCAGCAGGGAAGAACGGUCACUGUGCUAAUCAGCAGUGAAUUGACGGUACCUGCAAAGGAAGCACCGGCUAACUCCGUGCCAGCCGCCGCGGUAAUACGGAGGGGGCGAGCGUUAAUCGGAAUUACUGGGCGUAAAGCGCUCGUAGGCGGUAUGUCAAGUCAAGGGUGAAAUCCCCGCGCUAAAGGUGGGAACUGCCUUUGAAACUGGCAAACUGGAGUGUGUGAGAGGAUAGUGGAAUUCCAGGUGUAGGAGGGAAAUCCGUAGAUAUCUGGAGGAACAUCAGUGGCGAAGGCGACUAUCUGGCACAUAACUGACGCUGAGGAGCGAAAGCGUGGGUAGCAAACAGGAUUAGAUACCCUAGUAGUC